rnacentral:rRNA from 1 species
GUGUCAGCAGCCGCGGUAAUACAGAGGUCCCAAGCGUUGUUCGGAUUCACUGGGCGUAAAGGGUGCGUAGGCGGUCGGGUAAGUCUGACGUGAAAUCUUCAAGCUCAACUUGGAAACUGCGUCGGAUACUAUUCGGCUAGAGGAAUGGAGGGGAGACUGGAAUACUUGGUGUAGCAGUGAAAUGCGUAGAUAUCAAGUGGAACACCAGUGGCGAAGGCGAGUCUCUGGACAUUUCCUGACGCUGAGGCACGAAAGCCAGGGGAGCAAACGGGAUUAGAAACCCCCGUAGUCC